UCUGCCGGUUCAUUCCCCAAAUGGAAGCAUCUGCCUUGGACUGAAGCCAGGAGCCAGAAGCUUCUUCCAGGUCUCCCACAUGGGUGCAGGGGCCCAAGGACUUGGGUCAUCUUCCACUGCUUCCCCAAGUGCAUUAGCAGGGAGCUGGAUCGGAAGUGGAGCAGCCAGGACUCGAACGGGUGCCCAUAUGGAAUGCCGGCACUGCACGUGGAGGCUUAACCUGCUACACCACAACACCGGCCCCUAAAACUUAGCUGUUACACUCCCUGUCCUUGGUCUUCAAAGCUUCAUCUCUCAGCCUUUUUUUUUCUUCUUCCUCUGGAGUCCAUAACUUUCCUCUGCCCUGCGUCGUUGCUAUUCUGUGUCACUGCUAUCCUCUGCCAUAAUGGAACACUUGGGUGUCACAGGAAUCUAGUAUGGUUGACCUAUGUUGUUAAUGUUCUAAAUCCACAGUAAUCUAGAAUUUUUUUGUACUUGGCUUUAGUUGUAUUGUAGGUAAAUAGGCUGUGUUGAGCUGAGCUCAGAAUUGUGAUCACAUCAUGACCAUGAGAGGAUGUGCUGGAAUUCCAAACAAAUACCUGAAGAUAUAAGGCAACCAGCAUUACACGGAGACCACCUGCCUCCCAGGAAAGACAAGAAGAGAUUUGGACAAACACACAUUGGCUGCUUCCAUGUUCUGUGCCAGGAAGAGGAGGAGGCAGAAUUGAAGCUCACCAAGAUAACUGAAGCAAAUAACUCUAGGCACAGAAGACAGCACGUUCUUCCACACAUCCAUUACGUAAAGGCAACGGCUGCUUUUGAGAAGGAACAUGACUUGUACUGAAUCCUCCCCAUUUGUGGAAUGAUCUAUGCAUUUCUAAAUUACCUUGUAAUUACCGAGACAUUUCUUAUUGCUGAGAACAGCUGCCCCCACUCCAACCCCACUACAAGUUAGCAGAACAGGAAGAUAAAAAGUCCUCUAGGUGUUUAAAGGGAACACAUGAGAUCUUAUCAAAGCAGGAAUCCAAUUAAAAAUCUGUUCUCUCUGGCUCGCUCAACAGUUGAGUAAGGGGUGAAAAGGGAAGGCAUGUGUAAAGAUUGCAACGCCUAUGAGUCAAGUCACCAGGCAUUUGUCCGGUAAAUAAGCAGGAAGCAGCACCCAACAUCUUAGUCAGAACAGGAGGCCCUGUGCAGGCGGCAUCUCAGGUAAAUCAGGGCUGAGGGGCCCGGCCUGCUCUGGAACGAAGCUGGUUUUCUUCUGGCACUGGGAAGUGCGCUCCGCCCUGCAGCAGUGGAGCGAGCUGGGCGGAAGUGCUGGAUCUUCCUCCCGAAUCUGCAGGUGGAGGUCUCAGAACGAGGGCUCUGGAAUGAGAACAAGGCUCAUUAGCAAGGAGGUGGAUUGGAAGAGGAGCAGCUGAGACCGGCACCCAUAUAGUACGCCAGCAUCACACACAGAGGCUUAACCUGCUGCAUCACAGUGCCAGCCCCAUAGCAGGCUGAUUGGCCCACAAUCUGAAGACUACAUUAGGAGCUGAGAGGUGUGCAAAAAUGGGUACAAGUCUUCCUACCCUUGUUUUAGCAGGAGACGCAUGCCUACCUCAAAGGCCCUUCAGCUGUUAAAUUCCAUUGCUUCCAAAUAAGACUGUAAAAUGUUCGACUUCAUGGAUUGCUAGCAGAUUCUUGGACUGAAACACAAGUCCUGCCCUCACCCAUGCCUGAUUGGAUAACAGUGACAAGUACAAUGGUAUAACAUGUGCAACGCAUUGUCUUUCCCUCUUAAAAACUCAUUUUAUGAAACCCCUUAAUUCAAUCAGGCUUGAACUUCCUGUGGCAUCAAACCAAAUAGAAUUACACCGAUUCCAAAAAUGUAAAUGCAUCCCAGAUACUACUGACUGAUGUAUUCAUGGGAACACUUAAGACUGAAGACGUGAAGAGGCUGCAGGAGCCAGCAGUUGAGGUCUAAACAUGUAUGGGGACUUUUUUCCAUUCCUGACUUUCUCAGGAUUGAAAACUAGUUUUGACCUUGGAAUUCAAUUCUAGAAAGUCAGAGCUGAGAAGACCUCUAAGAGUAGCGGUUUAUUCUCCAGUCGGUGGAAAGGAUGAAGAGACACCCUCAAGGUCGCUCAGGGCACAGAUAGAACUAGGUGUGUUCACUUCCACACACCUGUGACCCAGCAGUGACGAAGAAACAAGGGUCUGCUAUCCGGAUUCAUUCUGGUUCCUCUUUCUUCCUCCUUCUGAAUAGAUUCCUGGGGUGGGG